rnacentral:rRNA from 1 species
GAUGAACGCUGGCGGCGUGCCUAAUACAUGCAAGUCGAGCGAACGGACGAGAAGCUUGCUUCUCUGAUGUUAGCGGCGGACGGGUGAGUAACACGUGGAUAACCUACCUAUAAGACUGGGAUAACUUCGGGAAACCGGAGCUAAUCCCGGAUAAUAUUUUGAACCGCAUGGUUCAAAAGUGAAAGACGGUCUUGCUGUCACUUAUAGCUGGAUCCGCGCUGCAUUAGCUAGUUGGUAAGGUAACGGCUUACCAAGGCAACGAUGCAUAGCCGACCUGAGAGGGUGAUCGGCCACACUGGAGCUGAGACACGGUCCAGACUCCUACGGGAGGCAGCAGUAGGGAAUCUUCCGCAAUGGGCGAAAGCCUGACGGAGCAACGCCGCGUGAGUGAUGAAGGUCUUCGGAUCGUAAAACUCUGUUAUUAGGGAAGAACAUAUGUGUAAGUAACUGUGCACAUCUUGACGGUACCUAAUCAGAAAGCCACGGCUAACUACGUG